CUUUAAUUCAACAUUAAUUACAACGGCAGCUUAGGAAAAACCUCACGCGAGGCGGGUCGGCGCAUAGCAUUGUGGGAAAUGUAGUUUGGUGGCCUAGACUUUGUGGUUUAGGUGGAGGCGUGCGGGAGGGGAAGCGAGCGGGAAAGGGGAUACUCAGACCCAGGAGAUGGGGUGGCAAGAGAAAUGAAGUGCGAAGAGCAGUGCAGAACUUUCCGUAUCCUUAAACCAAUCUGGACCUUCAUUUAUCUCGGCUGGCAUACGGAGAGGCCAAUAUUAUUCCUCACCACAUACCCUUGUGAGGACCUGGAAGAAUUACCGAUGGUAACAAUGUGAGUUCAUGCUAUUGUCCAGUGAAGGAGUGAGGAUGGCAUUCCACACCUCAGCGAAAGAUGCCAAACUGAAAAAUACUGAAAAGCAGGUGGAAAACCCUAUCUUUGAAAGACUGAACAAUAUACAAAAAAAGGGAAGACUGAGUUUUAUAGUACCCACAGAAAAUGAAUCUGACACACAAUUCCUGACGUUUAGGCACAGUACAAAAGCUCAAGAGAGAACAAGAAAACGACAGCAGCCCAUAAAACUAGAGCCUCUGCCAGUGCUAAAAGUCUACCAAGAUCAUAAGAGGCCAGAAUACAUAUAUGAACAGAACCGAUUUCAGUUAAUCUCUUCUGGAAUCAUAAAGCCUCCAGGAAGCACUGAAGAAAGAAGUUCUACCAAAUUAUCUGUUCAGUUUCUUGAGCCUCAGUAUACUGUGAGGAAGAAAAAACAGCAGCCCUCUGCUGAGAUGUUCUCUCCCUCUCCUCCUAAACUGUCACGUACCAGUAUUGGAAGAAGAGGUCUCUAUGGGACCAGUUCCUCAGCGUACCCUAAGUACUUUUUCCAUGAUCGGGAAGAAGUCGUUAAAGCCAACGUUCGUAAUCCUUUGCAAAUCAUUAAAAUAAUACGUGAAAAUGAACACCUCGGAUUUCUUUAUAUGAUCCCUGCAGUGCCAAGGUCUUCCACUGAAUAUGAUACAUAUAAUCUCAAAGUUGUAAGUUAUGAGAACAUCAAUAAAAAUGACUACUAUACUAUUAGCAAAAAAGCCGUAACACACAUUUAUAAUGAGGACAUUGAGUAUAUCGAAAUUGAUCGAUGGGAACAGGAGUAUCUAUAUCACAGAGAACUCACUAAAAUUCCCAUAUUUGCACUUUUCCGGAAAUGGAAGGCUUUUAAUGUGUGGAAGAAGAAUGUCCGUUCCAAGAAAAUCAGUGGUUGUCGACAAUCUCUACAAAAAAAUUUGUUCAUUGUUAAUCCUCAUUUGCGACCGGCUCUUCUUAAAAUAAAUGAAUUAUGCUAUAACUUGAGUUUUAUCAGACUUUGUUAUAUUGAAAAAUGUCAUACUUAUACCCUGCAAGAAUUUAAGGCCACACAAAUCAUAUGGUUAGAAGAGGUGACAACGCGCCUAGAAGAAUUUCGAAAUGAGGCAAAAGUUGUGGUCAGGAAGGCUUGUCGAAUUGCUCUGCAUGCCGCAGGAUUUAUUCCUGAUGACUGUCAACAUAAACCUGUUGAGGAUUAUUGUAAAAUGCCAGAUGGUGGAGGUCUCACUGAGUUGCCUGCUUAUUCAGACUCUGAGAAAAUGACAUACACAGAGCAGGCCAGCAAAAGGCACCACUGCAUGAGGCUAACAUGCUUUAUCCGUCUAAAUGACUAUCUAAUUGAGAACACAAUGCACAUCCUAACAGUAAAUUCUGUUAACUCUCUUUUGAAUUAUCUCACUGACAAGCUAAAACGAACACCUUCAGCAGAUGUCAUUCAGAAAUGGAUUACUGAAGAGAAGCCUGAUGUCACUGAUAAAAAGGGGGCCUCUGUGGUGGAAAAGCAGGAAGAAGAUGAGUCUCUCAUCCCUAUGUUUCUCACAGAACUGAUUUUGACAGUCCAAUCAUUACUCUUCGAGCCUUCUUUGGAAGACUUCCUGGCUGGUAUUUCAGAUGCAAUUAAUCAAUUUCAAAACACUGUGCUAUCAGUUCCUAAUCUUGUACCUGAUACAUAUUUUGACGCUUUUACCAGACCUUACAUUAACAACAAACUUGAAGAAAAAACUUGUGGAUUUGGUCCAAGCCUAUCAGCAGUAUUUGAUGAUGAUAAGAAUUUUCACACAAUUAUCCUUCAAAUAAAGGAAACCAUACAAACAGCAUUUGAAUCUGCCCGAUUAUAUGCAGCUACGUUUGAGAAGUUCCAUAUAUUCUUCAAGGAAAAUGAAAGUCUUGAUUUACAAGCUCUUAAACUUCAAGAACCUGAUGUUAAGUUUUUUGGAGAACAACUGGAAAAAUACCACAGACAGCACAAGGACGCAAUAGCUCUAAGACCCACCAGAAAUGUAGGAUUGCUGCUCAUUGAUACAAAGCUGCUAAAAGAAAAACUAAUCCCAUCACCUUUGCGAUGCUUGGAGGUGCUAAAUUAUAUGCUUCCUCGUCAAAGCAAGAAAAAAGUGGAUGCCAUUAUCUCUGAGGCACAAGAUGCAGAGUAUAAACUUGAAUUUGUUCCAACUACCACCAUAGAAUAUGUUAACAGCUUAGUAUUUCUUGAUGAAAUUCAGGAAAGGAUCGAAAGCCUUGAAGAUGAAGGGAAUGUAGUGAUUCAAAUGUACAAGCUCAUUGAACAGUAUCAGGUUCCCACACCUCCUGAAGACUUUGCUGUUUUCGCUACUAUGAAGCCAUCCAUUGUUGCAGUUCGGAAUGCCAUUGAUAAAUCUGUGGGUGACAGAGAAACAAGCAUUAAGCAGUUUUCUCUGCAUUUGGGUAGAGAUCUUGAAGACCUAACCAAUGAAGUGAAUGAAGUAAAGCUACACGCACAGGAUCCACAGAUCUUAGAUAUUACUGCUGACCAAGACAAAAUAAAGCUCAUGUUGCACGAUCUGCAGUUGGUUCUAGAUGAUCUUCAAAAACGUGCAUUUCAAUAUAAAUCCUAUCAGAAGAAUUUUAAGAUAGAAGUAUCCAAGUUUGAAGCUUUGGAAGAAGUUAGUGCUGAGUUGAAGCUCAAACAAUUGCUCUGGGAUUCUUUAUCUGAAUGGGAUCAACUCCAACAAGAAUGGUUAAAGUCCAAAUUUGACAGCCUGGAUCCAGAAGUCCUAAAUAGUCAAGUUUCUAAAUAUGCCAAAUUUGUGACUCAAUUGGAAAAAGGCUUGCCACCCAACAGUGUAGUUCCUCAGCUAAAAUGUAAGGUGGAAAAAAUGAAAGAAAAGCUUCCAGUUAUCACUGACUUGAGGAAUCCAACUUUGAAGCCAAGACAUUGGGCAGCUAUUGAACAAACAGUUGACGCCACCCUAGUGGACCUUGACAUUCCAUUAACCUUGGAGAAGCUCUCUGAGUUGCAUGUUUUCGAUUUUGGCCAAGAAAUCCAGGACAUUUCUGGACAGGCUUCUGGAGAAGCUGCCUUAGAAAUAAUUCUUAAAAAGGUGGAAGAUUCUUGGAAAACAACUGAAUUUGUCGUUCUCCCUCACCGUGACUCCAAAGAUGUGUUUAUCCUGGGUGGCACAGAUGACAUACAGGUCCUUCUUGAUGACAGCACCAUCAACAUUGCAACCAUUGCCUCAUCACGUUACGUUGGUCCACUGAAAACUCGAGUGGAUGACUGGCAGAAACAACUUGCUUUAUUUAAUCAAACACUGGAAGAGUGGCUGAACUGUCAGCGAAACUGGCUCUACCUAGAAAGUAUUUUUAAUGCUCCAGAUAUUCAGAGGCAAUUGCCUGCCGAGGCUAAGAUGUUCCUUCAAGUGGAUAAGUCAUGGAAGGAAAUCAUGAGGAAGGUGAACCGGUUGCCUAAUGCUCUUCGAGCCGCUACUCAACCAGGACUUCUGGAGACUUUUCAAAAUAAUAAUGCAUUACUUGACCAAAUUCAAAAGUGUCUAGAGGCAUAUUUAGAAUCAAAAAGAGUUAUCUUUCCAAGAUUUUACUUCUUGUCAAAUGAUGAACUUCUGGAGAUUCUGGCCCAGACACGAAAUCCCCAAGCUGUGCAGCCACACUUAAGGAAAUGCUUUGACUCCAUUUCAAAGCUCGAAUUUGCUCUCAUGCCUCCUACUGAAGGAAAAAUUCCUGGUAUGGAAGGAGAGCCAGAAAAGAUUUACACUAAUGAUAUUUUAGCAAUGCUAUCACCAGAAGGAGAACGGGUUAGCUUGGGAAAAGGCCUCAAAGCCCGAGGCAACGUGGAGGAUUGGCUUGGUAAAGUGGAAGAAGCCAUGUUCACAUCUCUGCGUCGCCUUUGCAAAGCCGCCAUCGCUGACUACCAGGGGAAACCAAGGACAGACUGGGUGAUUGCUGGCCACCCUUCUCAAGUGAUUCUGACCAUUUCUCAAAUCAUGUGGUGCCGUGAUUUGACUGAGUGCUUGGAAAGAGAAGGUGGUAAUCAUAUAGAGGCCCUGGAAGCUUUUGAAGAAGUAAACUUUGAGAGAUUAAAUGCCCUGGCAGCAACAGUUCGAGGCAGUCUUCCAAAAUUACACAGAAAUAUCAUAACUGCCUUAAUUACUAUUGAUGUACAUGCAAGAGACAUAGUCACCGAACUUGUUCAAGCCAAGGUAGAGGAAGUGGAUUCCUUUGACUGGCAGAGACAACUGCGCUACUAUUGGGAUAUAGAUCAGGAUAAUUGCGUGGCUCGGAUGGCGCUCUCUCAGUACACCUAUGGCUAUGAGUAUUUGGGUGCAUGCCCAAGACUAGUCAUUACUCCUCUCACAGAUCGCUGUUACCUUUGCCUCAUGGGGGCUUUGCAGCUUGACCUGGGAGGUGCACCAGCUGGUCCUGCUGGCACUGGGAAAACAGAGACAACCAAAGACCUAGCUAAAGCUCUUGCCAUCCAGUGUGUGGUCUUCAACUGCUCCGAUGGUUUGGACUACAAGAUGAUGGGGCGCUUCUUCAGCGGUCUGGCCCAAUCAGGGGCCUGGUGCUGCUUUGAUGAAUUUAAUCGAAUCGACAUAGAAGUUUUGUCGGUCAUCGCACAGCAGCUCAUUACUAUUAGGAAUGCCAAAGCUGCAAAGCUAUCUAGAUUCAUGUUUGAGGGCCGGGAAAUAAAGUUGGUUAUGACUUGUGCAGCUUUUAUCACAAUGAAUCCUGGAUACGCAGGCAGAACUGAAUUGCCAGAUAAUUUGAAGGCCCUGUUUAGACCCUUUGCAAUGAUGGUUCCAAAUUAUGCUUUGAUUGCAGAGGUAAUUCUAUAUUCUGAAGGAUUUGAAUCCAGUAAAAUAUUAGCCAGAAAAAUGACUCAGAUGUAUAAGCUUUGCAGUGAACAGCUCUCUCAGCAAGAUCACUACGACUUUGGCAUGAGAGCUGUGAAGUCUGUACUGGUCAUGGCUGGGUCCUUAAAAAGGGAGAAUCCACACUUAAGUGAAGAUGUGGUAUUGAUAAGAGCUUUACGAGACUCCAACUUGCCAAAAUUCCUAACAGAUGAUGCUAUUCUGUUCAGUGGAAUUAUAUCUGACCUUUUUCCUGGAGUCCAAAUUCCAGAACAUGAUUAUGGUAUAUUGCAGUCAACAAUUAUAGAUGUCAUGAAUAGAAAAAAUCUUCAGCCUGAGACAUGUAUGGUUAAAAAAGUGAUACAGUUCUAUGAAACUAUGCUGGUAAGACACGGUGUUAUGUUAGUCGGGCCGACAGGAGGUGGCAAGACCACAGUUUACCAAAUACUAGCAGAAACUUUAGGGAAUUUGCAAAAACUUGGUUUAGACAAUCCCUUUUACCAACCGGUUAAAACAUACGUUCUUAAUCCUAAAUCAAUUACAAUGGGUGAAUUAUAUGGUGAAGUUAAUAACAUAACCUUGGAGUGGAAAGAUGGUUUGAUGGCACUAAGUGUCCGAGCAGCUGUGAAUGACACUUCAGAAGACCAUAAAUGGAUCAUCAGUGAUGGGCCCGUGGAUGCUCUUUGGAUUGAAAAUAUGAAUACAGUGCUGGAUGAUAACAAGAUGCUUUGCCUGGCUAACAGUGAGAGGAUCAAACUCACACCUCAAAUCCACAUGCUUUUUGAGGUGCAAGACCUAAGAGUUGCCUCUCCUGCAACAGUCAGUCGAUGUGGAAUGGUGUUUGUGGAUCCUGAAGAACUGAAAUGGAUGCCUUAUGUUAAAACAUGGAUGAAGAAUAUUUCUAAAAAACUAAAUGAGGAAACCCAAGAAUACAUAUUGAACCUUUUCCAACGUUAUGUUGAUGAUGGUUUAUAUUUUGUCAAUAAAAAAUGCAGCCAAGCAAUCCCACAAGUGGACAUCAGCAAAGUUACUACACUCUGUUGCUUAUUGGAGUCUUUGAUAUUUGGGAAAGAUGGAGUUAAUUUGACAAUGGAACAAAUAAAACUGAAUACAGUACUAUGUCAGACUUUUAUAUUCUGUUAUUUAUGGUCUUUGGGUGGAAAUCUAACUGAAAACCACUGGGAUUCCUUUGAUACAUUUAUUAGAACACAAUUUGAUGAUAAUCCCGAUGCCAGGCUUCCCAGUUCUGGUGAUCUGUGGAGCAUUCAUAUGGACUUCGACACCAAACGACUGGAUCCCUGGGAACGAAUCAUACCCACCUUUAAGUACAGCCGAGAUGUUCCUUUUUUUGAAAUGCUAGUCCCCACAACUGACACGGUGCGCUUUGGAUAUCUAAUGGAAAAACUACUGGCAGUCAGGCAUUCAGUGCUGUUUACUGGAAUAACUGGAGUUGGCAAGUCUGUCAUUGCAAAAGGAUUGUUGAAUCGAAUUCAAGAAUCAGCUGCCUAUGUUCCUGUUUAUCUAAACUUUUCUGCUCAAACUUCAUCUGCAAGAACACAAGAGAUCAUUGAGUCAAAACUGGAAAGGAAAAGAAAAAAUAUACUAGGAGCACCAGGAAACAAACAAGUUGUGAUUUUUGUUGAUGAUUUAAACAUGCCCAGACUGGACCGCUAUGGCUCUCAGCCUCCAAUUGAAUUACUUCGGCAGUAUCAAGAUUUUGGUGGAUUUUAUGACAGAAACAAACUCUUUUGGAAAGACAUACAGGAUGUAACGAUCGUCUCAGCAUGUGCACCUCCAGGUGGUGGCCGCAACCCUGUGACUCCCCGUUUUAUCCGACACUUCAGCAUGCUGUGCCUUCCGACGCCCUCAGAGCACAGUCUGAAACAGAUUUUUCAGGCCAUCUUAAAUGGCUUCCUCAGUGACUUCCCACCAGCUGUAAAGCAAACCGCAUCAAACAUUGUAGAGGCUGCAGUUGAGAUUUAUAACAGAAUGAGUGUUGAUCUUCUGCCAACACCAGCCAAGUCCCAUUACAUCUUUAACUUGAGGGAUUUAUCCAAAUGUGUACAAGGUAUCCUCCAAUGUGAUCCAGGAACAGUAAGAGAAGAAAUACAGAUAUUUAGACUCUUUUGCCAUGAAUGCCAAAGAGUCUUCCAUGACCGUUUGAUUAAUAAUGAAGAUAAGCACUAUUUCCAUGCUAUUUUGACAGAAAUGGCCAACAAACAUUUUGGAAUUGCAAUUGGCCUGGAAUAUUUUUUGACAAAACCCAUCAUCUUUGGAGACUUUAUUAAGUUUGGAGCAGAUAAGACUGAUCGGAUUUACAAUGACAUGCCUGAUAUGGAGAAAAUCGCAAAUGUUCUACAGGACUAUCUUGACGAUUAUAACCUUAUAAAUCCCAAAGAAGUAAAGUUGGUGUUCUUCCAGGAUGCUAUAGAACAUGUUUCAAGGAUUGCCCGCAUGAUUCGUCAGGAAAGAGGCAAUGCGCUGCUCGUUGGAGUAGGAGGCACUGGAAAACAGUCUCUUACAAGACUUGCAGCUCACAUAUGUGGUUACAAAUGUUUGCAAAUUGAACUGAGCCGAGGAUAUAAUUAUGACAGUUUUCAUGAAGACCUGAGGAAGUUGUACAAACUGGCUGGUGUGGAUAACAAGAAUAUGGUCUUCCUCUUCACCGACACCCAGAUUGUAGUAGAAGAAUUCCUAGAAGAUAUAAAUAACAUCCUGAACUCCGGUGAAGUGCCCAAUUUAUUUGAAAAGGAUGAACUGGAACAGGUUUUAGCAGCCACCAGACCACGAGCGAAAGAAGUAGGAAUUUCCGAGGGGAAUAGAGAUGAGGUAUUUCAGCACUUUAUCAGCAGAGUCCGUCAGAAGCUGCACAUCGUUCUCUGUAUGAGCCCUGUGGGGGAGGCCUUCCGGUCCCGGUGCCGAAUGUUCCCAUCCCUUGUGAACUGCUGCACUAUUGAUUGGUUUGUCCAGUGGCCUAGAGAAGCACUUCUUUCUGUAUCAAAGACAUUUUUCUCCAGUGUUGAUGCUGGAAAAGAAGAAAUGAAAGAAAAGCUUUCCCUCAUGUGUGUGAACAUUCACCUGAGCGUCUCCAAUAUGGCAGAACGCUAUUACAUGGAGCUCCGGAGACGGUACUACACAACGCCCACCUCCUACCUGGAACUCAUCAAUCUUUUCCUGACUAUGCUGAGUGAAAAAAAGAAGCAGUUGGUUUCAGCACGUGACCGGGUGAAGAAUGGCCUUACCAAGCUAUUAGAAACCAAUGUACUAGUAGAUAAAAUGAAAUUAGAGCUUUCAGCUUUAGAGCCUAUCCUUUUUCAAAAAUCACAAGAUGUUGAAGCCCUGAUGGAAAAAUUGGCAGUGGAUCAAGAAAAUGCCGAUCAGGUCCGUAGCAUUGUGCAAGAAGAUGAAGCGACGGCAAAAGUGAAAGCUGAAGAGACCCAAGCAAUAGCUGAUGAUGCUCAAAGAGACCUUGAAGAAGCUCUACCUGCACUUGAUGCUGCUAAUAAAGCACUGGAUUCCUUAGAUAAAGCAGAUAUAUCUGAGAUCAGAGUUUUUACAAAGCCCCCAGAUAUGGUCAUGACUGUUAUGGAAGCAAUCUCUAUUCUCUUGAAUGCCAAACCUGAUUGGCCAACAGCAAAGCAACUUCUUGGUGACUCUAACUUUCUAAGAAGACUUCUAGAAUAUGAUAAGGAAAAUAUAAAGCCUCAGAUAUUGGCAAAACUUCAGAAGUAUAUUAACAAUCCUGAUUUUGUGCCUGAAAAAGUAGAGAAAGUGUCCAAAGCAUGUAAAUCCAUGUGCAUGUGGGUAAGAGCGAUGGAUCUAUACUCUAGGGUAGUCAAAGAAGUCGAACCGAAGAGACAAAAACUCCGUGCUGCGCAGGCUGAACUUGAUAUCACAAUGGCUACUCUGAGAGAAAAGCAAGCCUUGCUAAAAAAAGUGGAAGAUCAAAUACAGGCCUUACAAGACAAAUAUGACAAAGGGGUGAACGAGAAAGAAAGUCUGGCAAAAACUAUGGCCCUGACAAAAGCACGUCUGAUACGUGCAGGAAAGCUGACGGCUGCACUAGAAGAUGAGCAAGUUCGAUGGGAAGAAAGCAUCCAGAAAUUCAAUGAGGAGAUAUCAAAUAUCAUUGGGAAUGUGUUUAUAGCAGCAGCUUGUGUAGCCUAUUAUGGGGCCUUCACAGCCCAGUAUAGGCAAUCGCUUAUAGAAUACUGGAUCCAGGACUGUCUGUCUCUGGAGAUCCCAAUCAAUCCUUCCUUCAGUCUCAUUAACAUUCUUGGUGAUCCCUACAAAAUACGGCAGUGGAACACUGAUGGGCUGCCCCGUGACAUGAUAUCAACAGAAAAUGGCAUUUUGGUUACUGAAGGGAGACGAUGGCCUUUGAUGAUUGACCCCCAGGAUCAGGCAAACCGUUGGAUAAGGAACAAGGAAAGCAAAAGUGGUUUAAAGAUCAUUAAGCUUACGGAUACUAAUUUCUUGCGUACACUUGAAAAUUCAAUCCGACUUGGUUUACCUGUCUUACUGGAAGAGCUUAGAGAAACCUUGGAUCCAGCUCUAGAACCCAUUCUUUUGAAGCAGACUUUCAUGAGCGGUGGGCGGCUGCUCAUUCGCCUCGGAGACUCAGACAUUGACUACGACAAAAACUUCAGGUUCUACAUGACAACCAAACUGCCAAAUCCCCACUACCUGCCCGAGGUGUGCAUUAAAGUCACCAUCAUCAAUUUCACUGUAACCAAAUCAGGUCUGGAGGAUCAGCUGUUAAGUGAUGUGGUACGACUUGAGAAACCCGAGUUGGAAGAACAAAGAAUCAAGCUCAUUGUGAGAAUAAACACUGAUAAAAACCAGCUGAAAACUAUUGAAGAGAAAAUCCUGAAAAUGCUCUUUACAUCUGAAGGAAAUAUUCUGGACAAUGAAGAACUUAUUGACACACUCCAGGAUUCAAAGAUCACUUCAGGUGCCAUUAAAAUCAGGCUGAAGGAAGCUGAGUCCACUGAACUGAUGAUAAAUGUUGCUCGUGAGAAGUAUCGUCCAGUAGCCACUCAAGGCUCUGUUAUGUACUUUGUUAUUGCAAGCCUCUCAGAAAUAGAUCCUAUGUAUCAGUAUUCAUUAAAAUAUUUUAAACAGUUGUUCAAUACAACAAUUGAAACAUCUGUAAAGUCAGACGAUCUAGAGCAGCGCAUGGAAAUACUCCUGGAACAAACGCUUCUAACUGCUUACGUCAAUGUUUCCAGAGGACUCUUUGAGCAACAUAAACUCAUCUACAGCUUUAUGCUGUGUGUAGAGAUCAUGCGUCAGCAAGAAAGCCUAACUGAUGCCGAGUGGAAUUUCUUUCUCCGAGGUUCUGCAGGAUUAGAAAAGGAACGCCCACCUAAGCCUGAAGUUCCCUGGCUGCAUAAUGCCAUGUGGUUCGCAUGCUGUGACUUAGAAGAAUCAUUUCCAGUUUUUAAAGGACUUACACAAUACAUACUGUUACAUCCUAUUUCCAUACGAAUAGGAUCCUUUGAGACUUAUAUCAAUCCAUAUGAAUGGGAAGGCUAUUCUAAAAGUAAGGAGGAAGAAGAAUUCAUGACAGAAGAAAAAGAGACCAAAAACCGUAAUUCCUGGCAUCCAGUAUUGAGUUCUUUCCAAAAGCUACUUCUCAUUAAAUGUUGCAAAGAAGAGAAGAUAGUUUUUGCUCUUACAGACUUUGUAAUAGAAAGCCUUGGAAAACGCUUUAUAGAGACACCCCCUGUGGACCUGCCCACUCUGUAUCAAGACAUGUCGUAUAACACUCCCCUGGUAUUCAUCUUAAGCACAGGCUCGGAUCCUAUGGGGGCAUUCCAGAGGUUUGCCCGGGACAGCGGGUAUUCAGAACGGGUGCAAUCAAUUUCACUGGGGCAAGGACAAGGACCCAUUGCUGAAAGAAUGAUCAAAGAUGCGAUGAAAUCAGGAAACUGGGUGUUUUUGCAGAACUGCCAUCUUGCUGUUUCUUGGAUGUUGGCAAUGGAAGAACUAAUUAAAACCUUCACAGAUCCAAACAUUAUCAUCAAGGACACUUUUCGACUUUUUUUAAGUUCCAUGCCUAGUAGUACAUUUCCUGUUACAGUUCUUCAAAAUUCUGUCAAGGUAACCAAUGAGCCUCCAAAAGGUUUACGUGCAAAUAUCAGACGAGCAUUUACUGAAAUGACACCUUCGUUUUUUGAAGAAAAUAUACUCGGAAGAAAAUGGAGACAAAUAAUAUUUGGCAUUUGUUUCUUCCAUGCAAUUAUUCAGGAGAGAAAAAAGUUUGGCCCUCUUGGUUGGAAUAUCUGCUAUGAAUUUAAUGACAGUGACAGGGAAUGUGCUUUGCUGAACCUCAACCUUUAUUGUCAAGAAGGAAAUAUUCCCUGGGAUGCAUUGAUUUACAUUACUGUUUGUUUGAUCCAAGAAAAGGAUAAAACUCAAUCUGGAUGGAGAAGCACAAAGUCUCAUGGUGAAAUUACAUAUGGUGGUAGAGUUACAGACACCUGGGAUCAAAGAUGCCUUCGGACUGUCUUAAAAAGGUUUUUUUCUCCUGAAACAUUAGAAGAGGAUUACAAAUAUUCUGAAUCAGGCAUCUAUUUUGCACCAUUGGCUGAUACCCUACAAGAGUUUAAAGACUACAUUGAAAAUCUGCCUUUAAUAGAUGAUCCAGAAAUAUUUGGAAUGCAUGAAAAUGCCAACCUAGUUUUCCAGUACAAAGAGACCAACACUUUAAUCAACACCAUACUUGAGGUGCAGCCAAGGUCAUCUUCUGGUGGAGAGGGAAAAAGCAAUGAUGAAAUUGUCCAAGAACUUGUUGCUUCAGUCCAGACCAGAGUUCCAGAAACACUAGAAAUGGAGAGUGCAUCUGAGAGCCUUUUCGCCAAGGAUUCCCAAGGACGCCUUAACUCUUUGACUACCGUUCUCGGACAAGAAGUGGACCGCUUUAACCAGCUAUUGAAGUUAAUACAUACUUCUCUGGAGACACUCAACAAAGCUAUUGCUGGCCUUGUGGUGAUGUCUGAGGAAAUGGAGAAGGUGUACAACAGUUUCCUCAACAACCAAGUUCCUUCUCUGUGGUCCACCACAGCCUACCCAUCCCUGAAGCCACUAGGAUCGUGGGUCAAAGACCUGAUCCUGAGGACUGCAUUUGUGGAUUUGUGGCUCAAAAGAGGGCAGCCUAAGUCCUUCUGGAUCUCCGGUUUCUUCUUUCCUCAAGGAUUUCUAACAGGAACUCUUCAAAAUCAUGCUCGGAAACACAAUUUGCCUAUAGACGAGCUGAGUUUCAAGUACAACAUGAUUCCUAUCUAUCGGGAUCAAGCUGCAGUUAUAGAAGCUGCCAAGACAGUGCAGUUUGGACAAGAACUGCCCAUGGACUUGGAGUUGCCCUCUCCUGAAGAUGGUGUUCUUGUUCAUGGAAUGUUUAUGGAUGCUUCUCGAUGGGACGAUACAGAGAUGGUGAUAGAAGAUGCACUGCCAGGACAGAUGAAUCCAAUGCUGCCUGUGGUGCAUUUUGAACCUCAACAAAAUUACGUGCCAAGCCCAACACUUUACCAUUCCCCACUUUAUAAAACAGGGGCCCGGGCAGGAACACUCUCAACCACAGUAGGCAAUCUGGAAGGAGAAAGAGAAUGGAAGAGGGAUAAUAUUUGAAAAAAUAAUGGCUGAUAAUUCCCAGAACUGAACAAACACUUGAGUCCUCAGAUCACAAGAUCUCACAAAGUGGCAGGUCAUUCCACCAACUUUGUGGUAACUGUGCUCUUACCCUCCAAGCGGUCCAAAGAUUACUGGAUUGCCAAGGGGUCAGCUUUGCUCUGCCAACUAAAUGAGUGAGAAGUUGCCACCUCCUGCUAAAAAAGAACCAGGCCAAAAGUCUUUCCUGAUGGGGACAAAGGUCCGUGUAACAUAUGCAAGCAAAACAGCUAUACUUCUGGUCUGACUUAAGGAUGGUUAGUGUGGCUUUUCUCUUCUAACCUAAAAUAAAGUGUCUGAGUGCUUCA